GACGAACGCUGGCGGCAGGCCUAACACAUGCAAGUCGAACGCCCCUUCGGGGGAGUGGCGGACGGGUGAGUAACGCGUGGGAACGUGCCCUUUGGUACGGAACAACUGAGGGAAACUUCAGCUAAUACCGUAUGUGCCCCCAUUCUUAGCGGGAUGGGUGGGAAAGAUUUAUCGCCAUUGGAGCGGCCCGCGUUAGAUUAGCUAGUUGGUAGGGUAAUGGCCUACCAAGGCGACGAUCUAUAGCUGGUCUGAGAGGAUGAUCAGCCACACUGGGACUGAGACACGGCCCAGACUCCUACGGGAGGCAGCAGUGGGGAAUCUUGCGCAAUGGGCGAAAGCCUGACGCAGCCAUGCCGCGUGAAUGAUGAAGGUCUUAGGAUUGUAAAAUUCUUUCACCGGGGACGAUAAUGACGGUACCCGGAGAAGAAGCCCCGGCUAACUUCGUGCCAGCAGCCGCGGUAAGACCGUAGCGUG
rnacentral:rRNA from 1 species